GGCUGGUCCAACUGCAGUAGUGCUUACAACGAAUUGAUCACAACCAGUUACAGAUGUUUUUGUUCCUUCUCCACUCCCAUUGCUUUACUUGACUACUCUUUU
ensembl:misc_RNA Y_RNA Y RNA